AAGUGUCAAGCCGCCAAGCAAAACACCCGUAGCCAUCUGCCAAACAACAAAACAGACAUUCAAAACAAAACAAACAACAAAACAGAAAUAUCCUCAAUAAUUUGAUUGAUUGAUCUAAUUAUUAGAUUAAAUAUAUCAGGAAAGUGGAUAAUAAAUGGAUCUUUCCAGUCAAUGACGAGAUGUCCCAUUGAAAUCACCCAUACAAUGUUAGAGCGAUGGAAAUGGAUUUUUCAAAUGGACCCAGAGUGUGUCGCGGGGGAACAUCGCUGGCCAAAUUUCGGAUCUAUAAAAUACCAUCGAUACGGAAUCGAUGUCAGUAUUGUUGCUGACAAAUAAUCAUGGUUCGAGAGUCGUCAGUGUUGGAUCGGAAGAUCACAGUUAUAGGGCUGUCGAGAGCAAAAGCACCUGUAAAAUCAACGUGUACCUAGUUAAAUAACAUCCAAUAUUGUAUAAUAAAAUAUGUCUCUAUAAAACUGGUUCUCACAACU